rnacentral:rRNA from 1 species
GACGAACGCUGGCGGCGUGCCUAAUACAUGCAAGUCGAGCGAAGUUUUUCUGGUGCUUGCCCUAGAAAAACUUAGCGGCGAACGGGUGAGUAACACGUAAAGAACCUGCCUCAUAGACUGGGACAACUAUUGGAAACGAUAGCUAAUACCGGAUAACAGUAUUUCUCGCAUGAGAGAUAUUUAAAAGUUGGUUAUGCUAACACUAUGAGAUGGCUUUGCGGUGCAUUAGCUAGUUGGUGGGGUAAAGGCCCACCAAGGCGACGAUGCAUAGCCGACCUGAGGGGGGGAUCGCCCCACGUGGGAGUGAGAACCGGCCCAGACCCCUAGGGGGGGCAGGAGGAGGGAAUUUUCCGCAAGGGGCGAAAGCCUGACGGAGCAACGCCGGGGGGGUGAAAAAGGAUUUCGGUUGGUAAAGCCUUGUUGUUAGGGAAGAAUGGAUUUGUAGUAACUAUACAUGUAAGGGACGGUACCGAACCAGAAAGCCACGGCCAACUACGG